rnacentral:snRNA from 1 species
AUACUUACCUGGCAGGGGAGAUACCAUGAUCAUGUAGGUGGUUCACCCAGGGCGAGGCUCAGCCAUUGCACUGAGGCUGUCUGACCUCUGCGAAUUCCCCAAAUGCGUGAAUCUCGACUGCGUAAUUUCUGGUAGUGGGGGACUGCGUUCGCGCUCUCCCCUG